CGACACUAGACCUUCUGGAGCUGGACUUACAGGUCUGGUACCACAUCUCUCCUUUGUGUAAGGUAAACUCUGCCAUGAUAUGAAUGACAGCAAUGUGUCAUGGAAAAGGAAGAGGCCACGGAAGGAUCUGCAGAUGCUAUGUUCUGCCUCGUUCUAAACAGAUACUUUAAGAGCAAUGGCACCUGGGUACUUUACCCCUAAGGAAAGCAACGAAACACCUCAGUGAUAUUACAGCUUAAACAUGUCCAGCAAGCCACUCAAGUAGCUGCCCUGUGUCCCGGAGGCUGCUCAGAGGUAUUGCUAACGUCAGUCCGCUCGUGUGAGAACCCCCUUGCCCUUCCAAGUCGUUUGCGUAAGGAACAUCUCCAGAUGUGGCCAAAUACCCCUGAUAGGCAAGGACGACACAUUAGUCGGAAACACCUUCCCCACAUCCACAUGAACAGAAUGUGGAGAUUCAUAACAAGCAAGGACAGGUAAAAGGAUUUUUAAGGGGUUGGGGAUUUAGCUCAGUGGAAGAGCACUUGCCUAGCAAGCGCAAGGCUCUGGGUUUGGUGCUCAGCUCUGAAAAGAAAGAAAGGAAGGAAGGAAGGAAGGAAGGAAGGAAGGAAGGAAGGAAGAAAGGAAGGAAGGAGGAAGAAAAAGAAUUUUUAAAAGACAAGCGGAUCCACUGAUACACCAUUACCAAACCAAGACUCCAAGAAGAAAAUCCUUAAACAAGGAAGAAAACGUCUCGUUAUCUCCACGCCAGGGGCUAUAGUGGGGA
ensembl:lncRNA